rnacentral:rRNA from 1 species
UACGUAGGGGGCAAGCGUUGUCCGGAAUCAUUGGGCGUAAAGAGCGCGUAGGCGGUCCGGUAAGUCCGCUCUGAAAGUCCGGGGGCUCAACCCCGGGAGGCGGGCGGAUACUGUCGGGCUAGAGUCCGGAAGAGGCGAGUGGAAUUCCUGGUGUAGCGGUGAAAUGCGCAGAUAUCAGGAGGAACACCGGUGGCGAAGGCGGGUCUCUGGGCAGUAACUGACGCUGAGGAGCGAAAGCGUGGGGAGCGAACAGG